AACUGAUUAAGGCUGGCUGUGAUAACCACUGCCACCAUCACAAGGGAGUGAAGUGAAAGAAGACUCUCUCUCUCUCUCUCUCUCUCUCUCUCUCUGGGGCCGUGUCAGAUGAAAAUAGUUUGACGCAUUGUUAUUUAUACAUGUAGAGGAAGUCAAGAACCACUCUUAAAUCAUGGUUGGAAAAAAGUGUAAUCAUGAUUAUUUAAAUAGUUCAUGUCUCUUUAGCUGCUUAACAACCAACUGCCACUAGGUAAUUAGUUUCGUAACGACCCACGAACUGUAAUUGUUUAUCGACGCCAAUUAAGUCUGGAGUGGCCAUCGUGUGAUAGUUAAAACUAAAUACUCAUUAGCUGUCUAACAGUCAUCUAUCAUCACAUAAGUACGAAACGAGACAUUGAAACAGUGAACUAGUGAGACUGAAGCAGAGAACCCCACAGCUGAACCCUUAAUGCUUCGUAGUGGUCAGACAGGCUGGGCGAAGGACGGGAGGCGACCGUGGAGGGAGGAGGGAGUGGUGCAGCAGAGGGAAGACGCGAUACCCAGGCAAGGCGAGGCCGCUGUCAAGGCGUAGAGUGAGUGCUGGAUCAGCUGUGGGAGACCCUUCUUGCCAUAGGAGGACUGCUUCAUCAGCAGCUCUCGGACUUGCUUCUACAGGGAAAAUAAGUAUCAAUAGUUAAUCUCAUUCUUCGUAGUUUGUAUUUUAUAUUUUCAGUUUUGGAACUAAUGACUAGUAGAUGCAUGGAAAAUAGGAGGAAGUACACAUUUAUAUAGGGUAUAAAAAGAUCUGUUGAUAGAGGUAUUAACUACAUAAAUAGCUGUUGUGGAGGGAGGAGUUGACAUAAUUGGAAUAGGAAAAAAAGGGUCCAAUAGAUUAUGAUGUAAAAUAUUGUGUAAUGAAAUUUUCUUGUAGUUUGAAUUAA